rnacentral:lncRNA from 1 species
CCAGUUAUAAAAAUUUAAGUGACUAAUAAAGAUCUAUGAUGGACAUUUUACAAUGCAGACACCUGCAAUUUUGAGUUUAGAAUGGCAAAUAAAUUAGAGAACAUCGUAUCAAUAAUGUCAUAAAACCAUACCAGUUCUAAAAAUGUAACCACACUUAAGUUUAAACAUCACAGAGCAUAUACAACCAUGGGGUUUACUGAAUAUGAGUAGGUGAAAAUACUUGUUUGAAUUGGCACUUACUCCAUCAUGAUUACAAGCAUCAUGAUCAAAAUUAUGUAAAGAAAGCUAGAUAAUAUAAAAUCUUCAUCCUUCAAUAUACCAUGUGCUUCGUCCUCUAAAAACCACUCAUAAGCCUCCAGUCAUCACAUGUCAAAAAAGAAACUAAAUAAUGGCAAACCAAUCAGAGACUUGAAUACAAUAAGGAUCGCGUUUUCUGCGAAUGAAGUAUCACAUGCCACGAUCUCUCAGCAAAGACUAACUCUAUCGAGUCUAAAAAGAAACCGUAAUUAACAUUCAAGUACUCGAACAACACAAAGAACCACAAAUCAAACGCUACAACCGAGACAACAUCCCAAACCCAUCAAAUCAAAGCAAAGUUGGCUUUUUUCGGUUCAUCCAAAUCGAACCAACGCCAAACCAAAAUCCACGAACAAAGGAAACAAAAUAAGAACUAAAACAAGGGGCUUCGGUUCCCGCGGGUAAGACGGAGGAAAAGGGAGAAGAAACGGAAGGAAAUGACCUCGGAUCGCGAUAUCUCGAGCUAAAACUCGAAUGCCGAAACCCUAAUCGCCUCAGGACGAGGACGAGGCCGGAUUCCCAGGGGCUUGGGGCGAUGGUCAAAGAGAGCUCGGCACGAGGGCGAGCUCGAAGAAGGAGAGGAAGAGAGGAACGCAGCGAGAGAUCGGCGUCCAACGGGGGAUUUCAAAUGGAGGAUUAUAUAAGCGAUGGCAUCGGAGAGGAAGAUAUAUACAUAGAGAGAAAAGGGACGGCUGGAGGGACUCUUUAAUUUCAUUGUUCGCACACUAAAUCUGUGCGGUGGGAAGAUCCACCGUCCGUUUGAUCAAUCUAAUGGAUCCUGGCCGUCCGAGCUCAGUGAUGCGAUCAUGCGUGGCUCUUGGACGCAUGACUGCGACCCCGAGUCGGCCCGGGUCGACUCUGUAGCAGUGCUGCAAACUCGGACGAGUAGGUCGAUUCGAAUCGGGCGUCAGGUUAUUGUGGACAACAAAAGCUAUAAAUACAAACCACAAGUCAAACUGGGUUUAAACAUUUGCAACGAGUUCUCUAUAACGGCUUUGGUGGCCGCAUGGUUUCCAUAAGAAUCGUUGUCUUGGUGUAUGCAAAAUGCUUGGAAUGAAUAUACCUUUGUCAUCGGCCCGUCCAACUCCGAUGACCACUGCGCAUGCCCACCGUUGUGGUGGCGCAGGCGGUGAUGACGAUGUCAACGAUCCGUCCCGCCGCAAGCAGAGCACACAGUCGACACCGACCCCGUAUUCCCGGCGGAGGAGGAAGUCGAAAAAGAUGGCGUUGGUAUUCCACCUACGCAAGCGCCAAGGAACAACAGACAAGCGCCAAGGAAGUACGAAGGGGCGGCUCCAGGAGGAAAGCACAACAGACAAGGAGAAGCAGUGGGAAGACGAAUUGGACCGGGGAACAGGCGAACAAGGAGGAGGAGGAGGGAGAAGAAGGUGCCGCGGAGGCACCAACGGCGUCAGGAGGAGCGGUCGAGGGGACUCGGGAAGCAUAAUACUAGCAAUAGUAUCAUAUAAUCCUAAUAAUUGAUUUGAUGAAAAUGAAAUGAGUUAUAAUACUUGAUAAUCGAUUAAAUAUAAAAAAAUAUAUUUUAUUUUAAAAUUAUAAAAAUUAUAUAUAAAGAUUUAUACAAAUAUUUUAAAACUAUAUACUUUGUGGAUUGAUUUAACGAAAAAUAUCUUGAUUACACUCGAGCGAGGUAUAUUCAUUCACCGUCCGAAUGGAUCCGAAAUGAAUCGACUCAUGAAUUUGUGACUUGAAAUAGUCUGAUUAUAAUAAAAAAAAAUUAAAAUUAAAAAAAAAUAUAUAUAUCUCUUGAUAAAAUCAAAUAUAAGGGUGCUACAAAGAUAAAACUCAUUACUAAGAAUUUUUAUUUUUCUUUGGUAAAUUGCCCCAUUACUGUUACAGACCAAUAUCAUCGAUCAUCGUUAGGAAAGUGGGAGGUCUAUCAAUGGAUUUCCUAACAGACAUCGACCCGCAAAUAAUCUCGCUCUGGGAAUUGCCAAUACCUAAAUGCAGUGAACUUAAUUGUUGAUGACAGACUGGUUUUGCUUGUGCUAUCAUGUGGAUUGCGAUGACGGAUGGGAUAGCUUCAUACUGAAACUACUUGUUGAGUUGGAAGUAUGUGUUACAGAGAUGAACCAAAUGUUCCUCUCAGGUGACCACAUUGACCUAAAUUUCUUGUGAUAAUUAAAUCACGACAUUUUUGUAUGAAAUUAUUCAGGUUUCAUCGGAAACCUACCUUUUCUUAGAUUUUAUAUCAAGAUAUGGAACUGAGGUUAGAGUCAUCAAGUUGGAACUCAUGACAAAAUGUCGAACCCACAAAACAUCCAUGCAAGAGUAUGAUUCAGGUUUAGAGUUUAAAACACAGAUUUUACACACAAAAAAAAAGAGCUAUCUCAAACUAUGUAAUGAAACUACCAUAUACUGCCACAAGUAAUGUUACAAGAUGACAAGUGGAUUACUACGAUCAUCACAAGUAACUACUAGAAUAUUGUGCGCCAUUGUAUUUUGAGUCCUUUUUGUACUGUGUCUCAAAAGCCAUAUCAAAACACACAUUUUGGAAUUUCCAAAAGCCAUUAGCAACUCCUGUUCAUGCACAUAAUAAGCUCCCUAGAUAACUAAGCAAAAAGACUCCAAAAAUGUCCCUGAUGCUCCAAUAAUAAUCCACCAAAAUGCAGUAGCAUGCAAUCGCACGUAAUUCAAGUUAAAUACAUGUUACAAACCUGCCACAGAGAUUAGGAGUUUGGCAGAGGGAUUGGUGUAUCUUAAUCCAAGAUGCAAGCAAACUUUACAUUCGUACUCAUAGUCCCCACGAGAACACAAGACAGGGGCUCUUCACUGUGUGAGCAACUUGGAGUCACAAGCCACAAUCUUCACUCUCUUGACUUGGUCGUGGCAGUCCUCGCUUUUGAAAACUGCAUCUUGCAAGAUGAAUGUCCACACAUUGUCACAGAACCUAUAAGUGUGCAGAUGACCCUGUAGAACAGUCUUGAGAAAAUAAGGUUUCUUGAUUACCAGGUUUAAUCAGAAAAAAAAAAAAAGGAAAAACUUAAACAUGAGGGCAUGAUAAUGGUUUGACUUUAUUCUAUAACUUGCAUAAUAUUGGUCUAACAGUGGGAGCUUAAAUCUUGACCAGAGAAUAGAGAGGCCAACUAUGGGCAUACUUGGCAUCUAUCAUGGGAUUUGGAUAAGUAGAAAGCACAGAAUAGGCAUGAGAUAACACAUAGCCGACUAUAAUGUCAAUAAACUACAGAAUAUUACUUAACGGUCAAAAUAACCACCUAUGAUCGGAUAGCUCUAAAUGAAAUAAAUCUUCACAUGAUAAAAGGGACUGAUGGACCUGAAAGAUUGAUAAGGGAAAAAAGGAAACUUCAGGUUUAAGAGGUAAGCAGUAGUACAUAUACAGCAAAAUCUGCAGGAUGGGAACUCCCAUUUCAAUAGCUCCAUAUGCAUAAUUUAGUAAAGCCAGAUAAGAUCAGAACUAAAAUAUGUCUUUUACCACUUAACUAGGAUGAUUUAGUCCAGAAUUGGAGUAUUGCAUAUUGCAUGAGUGCAGGUGCACAGUGAACUACAGUAUAUGCAGACAUGAUGAAAAUAGUUGGUACUCAUGACACACAACAGGCUGUUAAGUCAGUCAAAGUUUCCAGUCUGGUGGACUUGAAUAAGCGAGAUCAACUCAUCUUCAGAAAAAACCAUGCACAUUUCAGAAAUUUAGAAGGAAAGAAAAGUUCUUAACUAGUAGAAAACAGAAUGUCCUGGAAACAAGGUUUAGCAGGAAAUCUGUUGAUUCAUUAUAUGCGCUAAAUGCAUGCAUAUACCACAUAGACAACUAGUGAACCAUAUAUAUAAAUUACCCACAGAUAAGCAUAAAACAAGAGACAGAAUGUCCUCAAGUACAACAACUUUGGUCCAAUAACAAUGAUAUAUAUGUAUACACAUACACACACACAUCAUUGUCACCAAACAAACAAAAAGUCACUUACCUAAUGAUAUUUCAUUUCCAAAUUGUUAAUAAAAUGAAGAAAGAUUGUUUCUCAGCCUCAGACAACCUAGGGAUAAAAGAUACAAGAGAGUACAGGGUACAAGGACUUGACGGGUCAAUUUAUCAAUUACCUUUGAUCUAGAAUUUAUCAUGGGAUUUUAUAGUGUCAGCUUAAAAUACAAAAGUAACGUCAUAAAGUGAUCCGGAUGAACAAAUGUAUGACUCCUAAAACAUGUCAACAAACUACACACACCAAACACGUACAGAGAGUAUCAUAUCAUAAAUACACCAAUCCUUUGAUUUAAUGCUACUUUAAAAGGUUCACACUCAAGUUUCAGAUGCUAAGAUAAUCAAAGAAGCAAUCAGCGGCAAUGGUUUCAGGUGCUCACACAGACUAAAACCCUAUUUGACCCCAAAAAGCUAUGCUUCAUCUGCUAUUUAAGGCCCAAGAUUUGACUGAAGUCGAAGCACAGAAAGUAACGUACAUAUCAGCCUGAGCCUCGUCUACUAUUUCUCAUUAAUCACACAAGUUCAAGUCCAAGCGAUGCCUGAACAGAGAGAAUGAAAGCUAUGUGAUUUGAUGAAUAUGUCCAAGAAGGUUCAGAUUUCUUUUGGAAGAGUCCAGAGUCAGACCCAGUCCAGGAUAUUGGACUUUUUAUGGGAAUGGCAUGACUGGGCGUGCAACAUGCCAAGUUCAAUUUUGGUAGAAGUUGAAUGAAAAAAGAAAAAGAUUCAUGACUUGCUCUUGUAUUCUUAUGACAAUUCUUUUAGUAAUAUUUUCUAAUCCACAAAUAUAUAACUAAUAUAACAAAUUACAGAAGAAUACCUUUAGUAAUGAAAUUUGUGUAAAUAUUCAUUCAGUGAUUUAAAUGACACAACUAGCAAAAUGACUAGAAUGAGAUCACAACCGCUGAUCGCCUUACUGGGGGAACAAUCAAUCUUGCAAAUGACUAGAAUGAUCCAGAGGCAUAUGUGCUCACAAGCAUGGAGAACAACCAAUUCUGGAUGAUGAUGACUAGCAUGGUCCAGAGGCAUAUAUGAUCACAAGCACGGAUUGCCUUACUGAGGGAAUAACCAAUUCUGGAUGAUGACUAGCAUAAUCCAGAGGCAAUAAAUUAGCAAUGAAGAUAUGUGAUCACAUGCACAUAUUGCCUUACUCGGAGAGAACCAAUUUGCACAGCAUCUAUUGGCAAAAAGAAAAGAGAUACUUGAUGUUUAGAGAGGCUGGAAGAAAGAAAAUCCCUAGAAAUACUUGAUGCUUCUUUCAAUGAGAAUGAGAGGCGUAAAGUUUGCUAGGGUAGCAGUACACUUCCCUAAGUUGAUUGUUGAAAAGAUUCUUAGUAUUCUUAAAAAAGAUGCUUCUAGUUUGCUUCAACAUUUACAACUAUAUUUAAUGCAAUUUUUCUGUUCAAUCGGAAGAAAGGACAAGCUUCAAGUCAAUUAGUAUCUUUUAUUCAUCAAAAUUUAUCUGUUGGAAAUUUUAGGUUGAGUAAUAGAAUGUGAAUCUUGCAUAAUUUGUUUCAAUAAAAAAUUGUUAACAACAGAUGAAGCUUCAGCAGCAAAUGCAUUUGGAAUGAGAAACGAAUUUCCUUGAUAUAAUAUUAAACUGGUCUUCGAAAGACCCUUGGCCACAUAUUAAGUUCCUUUGGUCCCUAUUCGUCACAAUUAACUGAAUCAAGGCAUUGGCCUAAUGGUUGACAUUCAAUUUAUUUUGAAAGAUUUUGGGUUCAAAUACUUGUAAUGGUGAUGUCGAAGAAUUUGAGCCAUAUAAUUUUACAGCUUGAGAUCCAUCUACCACUCUCCAGUAUUAAAAUGAAACACAGAAACUCAUGAGUCAAGGCCUCAGACAGACGUCACACUUAAUAUUUAGUGAGAUAAUAAAACAUUGGUCGUAUGACAUGUUGAUACUAAAAGGUUAAAGACAAAACUAUUGUUAGAAGAAUCAAUAGUUGUCAAUGUUAAAUUAAAAUAUUAAAUAAAAAUGAAUUUUAAAGAAGCAACAAAAGUAAAAGAGGCAAUCAGAGGCACAAGUGAACUGGAUAUACAUGACAAAGAAUAUGCCUAAUAGCAAAAGUUUACCUUAAUCGAAACCUUGCUCUUGACUUGCGUCUCCAAGGCAUCUGUCAUAGACUGUGAGGAGAACAAAUUCAAAGGAAAAAGAACUUAAAAGCAUGACUGCUAAAAUCUCCAAAAGAAAUUUGUCCAGGGUUUAAAUUAAAUUUACCUUAUCAAACUGCAUAAGGACUUGGAUAGCUAGCUCCGGGCUCAACGUACCGCCGGAAACCAUCUCAUCUAGGGUUUCUGUCAAGCACAUGCCAAUGGAGGACCUUCGGUACAAUUCAAAUGUGGCCAUGGCCUAUUCUAGCACUCCAAUUAGCAAAAUUUAUUUAGUAACAAAAGCUCAGGAUUUCAAAACAAAGAAAAGCAAAAAGGCAACAAUAACAACUAGAAACAAAGAAUAGGUUGGUAUAUUUUAUUUUUUCUAGCCAAUUCUAGCACUCCGAUUAGCAAAGGUUAUUUAGCAACAAAAGCUCAGGAAUUCAAAACAAAGAAAAGCAAAAAGGCAACAAUAAACAACUAGAAAUAAAGAAUAGGUUGUUAUAUUUUAUUUUUUCUAUUAAGUGGAGGCAGCAACUCUUUAACAUAUUAGAAAUUGACCUGUAGCAGAAUAUUAACAUCAUAAAUAACCAUAAUAAAAACCACUGAGACUUGACAAAAAAAGGAUGCUUUAUAUAAUAAAUGAGGGCUUCGGAAUAACUACCAGCUCAAGAAGGAAAAGUGAUAAAAGUGUAAGAAAGAGAUGGGGAAGUAGAUAUUGCACUUCCCUAUGCCAUGAAAGAGGCAUUGACAUAAUGUCAAGCAAAUGUUUAAAACAGCAACCCAAUUAGUAGACAAUGUCAAUUAGGAAAAGUUCUUCUAAAUAUAUAUUUGAUAUAGUUGAAGAAUAUUCCCAGAGCAAAGCCCGUCAUAGCAUAAUUACUUGCCGAAUCAUGUAAGAAAGAUAUGCUCUUUCAUCCAAAGAAUAAACAGAAGAACAAAACCCCUUUUACAUGGUAAAGUGGGAUGGAGAUAAAAACAUGCAUGAAACAAGUAAUAAAACCUUGGUCUUCUUGACACUAAAAACAAAAAAAAUAUGUGUUUUAUCUUCUGUUUUACAGAACAUGUUUGGCAGUCACAUCUUCAUAACAAGGACAAGCACAACCUAGAGCUUCAAUCUUUAAUCUCCUUGUGCAUACACGAAUUAUGUUUCAACAAUCGUUAAGUACACAUUAGGAAUUUGUAAAUCAAGAGGACAAGCAAAUCCAGUUAUAAAAAUUGAAGUGAUUAAUAAAGAUCUAUGAUGGACAUUUUACAAUGCAGACACCUGCAAUUUUGAGCUUCUAAUGACAAUUAGAUAACAGAUCAUCGUAUACAUAAUGUCAUAAAACCAUACCAGUUCUAAAAAUGUAACCACACCUAAGUUUAGACAUCACAGAGCAUAUACAACCAUAGGGUUUACUGAAUAUGAAUAGGUGAAAAUACUUAGUUUGAAGUGGCACUUACUCCAUCAUGAUUACAAGCAUCACGAUCAAAAAUAUGUAAAGAAAGCUAGAUAAUAUAAAAUCUUCAUCCUUCAAUAUACCAUGUGCUUCGUCCUCUAAAAACCACUCACAAGCCUCCAGUCAUCACAUGUCAAAAUAGUAACCAAAUAAUGGCAAACCAAUCAGAGACUUGAAUAUAAUAAGGAUCGCGUUUUUUGCGAAUGAAGUAUCACAUGCCAUGAUCUCGCAGCAAAGACUAACUCUAUCGAGUCUAAAAAGAAACCGUAAUUAACAUUCAAGUAGUCGAACAACACAAAGAACCACAAAUCAAACGCUACAACCGAGACAUCUUCCCAAACCCAUCAAAUCAAAGCAUAGUUGGCUUUUUUUGGGUCAUCCAGAUCGAACUAACGCC